rnacentral:rRNA from 1 species
GAGUUUGAUCAUGGCUCAGGACGAACGCUGGCGGCGUGCUUAACACAUGCAAGUCGAGCGGGGUUUAUCGGAUUAGCUUGCUAAACUGAUAAACCUAGCGGCGGACGGGUGAGUAACGCGUGAGCAAUCUGCCUCAUACAGGGGGAUAACAGGUGGAAACACCUGCUAAUACCGCAUAAGACUCCACUACCGCAUGGUAGAGAAGUCAAAGGGAUUACCGGUAUGAGAUGAGCUCGCGUCCCAUUAGCUAGUUGGUAGGGUAAAGGCCUACCAAGGCGACGAUGGGUAGCCGACCUGAGAGGGUGAUCGGCCACACUGGGACUGAGACACGGCCCAGACUCCUACGGGAGGCAGCAGUGGGGAAUAUUGCACAAUGGAGGGAACUCUGAUGCAGCAACGCCGCGUGAGUGAAGAAGGUUUUCGGAUCGUAAAACUCUGUCAUUGGGGAAGAAUAAAUGACGGUACCCAAUGAGGAAGCCCCGGCUAACUACGUGCCAGCAGCCGCGGUAAUACGUAGGGGGCGAGCGUUGUCCGGAAUUACUGGGCGUAAAGGGUACGUAGGCGGCUAUAUAAGUCAGGUGUGAAAUACCAGUGCUUAACACUGGAAUUGCAUUUGAAACUGUGUAGCUUGAGUGCAGGAGAGGAAAGUGGAAUUCCUAGUGUAGCGGUGAAAUG